GGGCAACUCUGCCUGUCCACUGGUUUUGAUAAAUCCCCCCCCACUGUGUAUUGUACAGGAUCCUGAAGAAGCUCCUGUCCUCUACAUAGUGAUUUACAGCUCCCAGCAGAUCUUUCUUACUUCUAUAUAGUGUUGCUAAUUAAUUAUAAAGAUUCCAGCCUAAAGUUGUGAACAAAAAAAACUAGGGUUUUCCACAAAGUACAGCAAAAUACUGGUAACAAACAAGUAGAUUAUGAGAGGUGGAGUCAUCAGCUGUGAAAAUGUUAAAUUCACUCAGGAUGCCUGGCAGCUAAUGGACUAGCAAGCACUUUCCCUGCAUUCCAAUCUUGUGCCAAGGACAGGCAAGACUGUACUAGAGAGUCACAUCCAUACUCCCGGGUUACUCUGCCAAUUUUAGUCUCUUGAGCACAUGGAAGAAUUCAUGCAAGGAAUGCCAACUUUGAGACUGCAUCCAUAGCUACAGAAUGCCACUGAACAGGAGACAGAAAGAACAGGAUUUUCAUCAUGACAAACCAACACCCAUCCUGCCAGCAUAUUAUAAUUUAUCUGCAGGGGUGGUAAGAGCAAAUAGCAUUUGCUAGACAGACCAGUAAUUUUUCUUGGCAACAGGUUCUUACAGACUGUUUUUAACUAGUUGGGCAAAAUAUCCAUUCCUUUCUGGAAUGUGCUUAUUUUAUUAAUUUAUUUUUAUCCAAGGUUGUGUAACCAGUGAUGGCGGGUGCACACCUGCUAUUGUUCCAGUGAGGCUGUAUCUAUCAAAGAACAUUAAAUGUGCAA